AGAGUUUGAUCCUGGCUCAGGAUGAACGCUGGCGGCGCGCCUAACACAUGCAAGUCGAACGGCACCCCUCCUCGGAGGGAAGCGAGUGGCGAACGGCUGAGUAACACGUGGAGAACCCGCCCCCUCCUCCGGGAUAGCCUCGGGAAACCGUGGGUAAUACCGGAUGACCCCGCAGGGCCGCAUGGCCCCGCGGGCAAAGCCCAGACGGGAGGGGAUGGCUCCGCGGCCCAUCAGGUAGACGGCGGGGUGACGGCCCACCGUGCCGACGACGGGUAGCCGGGUUGAGAGACCGACCGGCCAGAUUGGGACUGAGACACGGCCCAGACUCCUACGGGAGGCAGCAGUGGGGAAUCUUGCGCAAUGGGGGGAACCCUGACGCAGCGACGCCGCGUGCGGGACGAAGGCCCUCGGGUCGUAAACCGCUUUCAGCAGGGAUGAGACAAGACGGUACCUGCAGAAGAAGCCCCGGCUAACUACGUGCCAGCAGCCGCGGUAAUACGUAGGGGGCGAGCGUUAUCCGGAUUCAUUGGGCGUAAAGCGCGCGUAGGCGGCCCGGCAGGCAGGGGGUCAAAUGGCGGGGCUCAACCCCGUCCCGCCCCCUGAACCGCCGGGCUCGGGUCCGGUAGGGGAGGGUGGAACACCCGGUGUAGCGGUGGAAUGCGCAGAUAUCGGGUGGAACACCGGUGGCGAAGGCGGCCCUCUGGGCCGAGACCGACGCUGAGGCGCGAAAGCUGGGGGAGCGAACAGGAUUAGAUACCCUGGUAGUCCCAGCCGUAAACGAUGGACGCUAGGUGUGGGGGGACGAUCCCUCCGUGCCGCAGCCAACGCAUUAAGCGUCCCGCCUGGGGAGUACGGCCGCAAGGCUAAAACUCAAAGGAAUUGACGGGGGCCCGCACAAGCAGCGGAGCAUGUGGCUUAAUUCGAAGCAACGCGAAGAACCUUACCUGCUCUUGACAUCCCUCUGACCGGCAAGUAAUGUUGCCUUUCCUUCGGGACAGAGGAGACAGGUGGUGCAUGGUUGUCGUCAGCUCGUGUCGUGAGAUGUUGGGUUAAGUCCCGCAACGAGCGCAACCCCUAUCUUCAGUAGCCAGCGGUAAGGCCGGGCACUCUGGAGAGACUGCCAGGGAUAACCUGGAGGAAGGUGGGGAUGACGUCAAAUCAUCAUGCCCCUUAUGAGCAGGGCUACACACGUGCUACAAUGGCGUAAACAAAGGGAAGCAGAGUCGUGAGGCCGAGCAAAUCCCAAAAAUAACGUCUCAGUUCGGAUUGUAGUCUGCAACUCGACUACAUGAAGCUGGAAUCGCUAGUAAUCGCGAAUCAGAAUGUCGCGGUGAAUACGUUCCCGGGUCUUGUACUCACCGCCCGUCA
rnacentral:rRNA from 1 species